GACGAACGCUGGCGGCGUGCUUAACACAUGCAAGUCGAACGGAAAGGCCCGGCUUUUGUGGUGGGCUCGAGUGGCGAGCAGGUGUGUAACACGUGAGUAACCUCCCCUUUACUUUGGGAUAUCUGCAGGGAACUGGGGCUCAUACCGGAUAUGUGCCCUUGCUGCGUGUGGUGGUUUGGAAAGUUUGGGCGGUUGGGGAUGGAUUCGCGGCUUGUCAGCUUGUUGGUGGGGUAGUGGCUUACCAAGGCUUUGACGGGUAGCCGGCCUGAGUGGGUGGACGGCCACAUUGGGAAUGGAGAAACGGCCAGGCUCCUACGGGAGGCAGAAGGGGGGGAUAUUGGAACAAGGGGGGAAGGCCUGUGCAGCAAAGCCGGGUGCGGGAAGAAGGCCCUUGGGUUGGAAACCGCCUUCGAGUGUGAAGAAGGGGGAGGGGAGGGAAUGGGCAAAGGAGCACCGGGUAAAUAAGUG
rnacentral:rRNA from 1 species